rnacentral:lncRNA from 1 species
AAAUACAAGUUUAUCCAUCUGAAAAGAGAUUUCUUGCUUGUAGCCAGGUCUGAAGAAAGACUGCUUAUAACUUGGCUGGUUGUAUUAGCAUACCACUGGCAGCAGGCCAUGGGAGGGAGCCCUGCCAGGCUGAAAGCAUGGACUUCAGGCAGGUCCCACUACUGCCUGCUAGGCUGUGGAACCAAAACUACCCUUCUGUCCCUGUAUUGGCUCUUUGACACAGCACGAGUUGCUCUGCUCCUCCCUCGAGCAUUGCCCCAGGGGCCUGAGAACUGCUUUCUUAUCCUCCUUGGGGACAGCACUUGUGCUUGGUGUUGGGGAUGCCAGAGCAUGGGACUGUCCAGCCUAGCCCCACUUCGCCUUGCCUCCAUCAACCUGCAUCUGAGGAAGAGCUUGGGAACAGGGCCCCUGGGAGUUCCACAGCCUAGUCCAUCACCUAAGACAUCAGAGUACCUCUGGUUAACAAAGGUCAAGCAUAUUGCCACCACCUCAGCUGGAUCUCGCAUGCUAGUGCCACCUACUGG